CAGAGACCUCACUGUCACUUUCUUCAACAAAUUCUUGCUUUUACUGACCAAUGUUUUGAUAAUUUUACCGAGUUUUAUACAAAAUGUUCCUGUGUGGUUGUGAAGAGAAGCCGGAACCGGAUCCACAGGGCUCAGAAGAGGCGCCCACGACUUUGCUGGUGGGCACGGCGGUGGGGACUGGGCUGUUGUUUGUUGCUCUCAUGUACCUGGCUUAUACGGCAGUAAAAGCCAAAAUGAGUCGGCGUCAGAGAAACUAUGAAGCACCAAGUUGGACACUGCCUCGGCGAAGGAACUUCACGUGAACUGA